rnacentral:rRNA from 1 species
AUACGUAGGGGGCAAGCGUUAUCCGGAUUUACUGGGUGUAAAGGGAGCGUAGACGGCAAAGCAAGUCUGAAGUGAAAGCCCCGGGCUCAACCCGGGAAUUGCUUUGGAAACUGUUUAGCUAGAGUGCAGGAGAGGUAAGCGGAAUUCCUAGUGUAGCGGUGAAAUGCGUAGAUAUUAGGAGGAACACCGGCGGCGAAGGCGGCUUACUGGACUGUAACUGACGUUGAGGCUCGAAAGCGUGGGGAGCAAACAGGAUUAGAUACCCUGGUAGUCCACGCCGUAAACGAUGAUUACUAGGUGUUGGUUGUCAUAGACAAUCGGUGCCGCAGCAAACGCAAUAAGUAAUCCACCUGGGGAGUACGUUCGCAAGAAUGAAACUCAAAUGAAUUGGCGGGG